AGCGAACGCUGGCGGCAGGCCUAACACAUGCAAGUCGAACGGAUCCUUCGGGAUUAGUGGCGGACGGGUGAGUAACACGUGGGAACGUGCCCUUUGGUUCGGAACAACUCAGGGAAACUUGAGCUAAUACCGGAUGUGCCCUUCGGGGGAAAGAUUUAUCGCCAUUGGAUCGGCCCGCGUCGGAUUAGCUAGUUGGUGAGGUAACGGCCCACCAAGGCGACGAUCAGUAGCUGGUCUGAGAGGAUGAUCAGCCACACUGGGACUGAGACACGGCCCAGACUCCUACGGGAGGCAGCAGUGGGGAAUCUUGCGCAAUGGGCGAAAGCCUGACGCAGCCAUGCCGCGUGAAUGAUGAAGGGCUUAGGAUUGUAAAAUUCUUUCAGCGGGGACGAUAAUGACGGUACCCGCAGAAGAAGCUCCGGCUAACUUCGU
rnacentral:rRNA from 1 species